rnacentral:misc_RNA from 1 species
GUGAAUCAUCGAAUCUUUGAACGCAUAUUGCACUCUCUGGUAUUCCGGAGAGUAUGCCUGUUUGAGGCUCAGUUAAAUAAAAAUCGGGGGUUUUGCCACCGUUGGUUGUUACGUUGCGGAGUUGGGGCGUCUUUACCUUUCGGGUAAGUGACUUAAAAUUCUGGAUUGGGAUCUGAACGUAUUUAAUUUUAUUUGGUACGACUUGUAAUAUCGAAUGUUUAUUAGAAGUCGUCAUCCUCUUG